ensembl:lncRNA
UAGGGGUCAGGUGACUAUAUACAGUAUGUAUAGGGGUCAGGUGACUAUAUACAGGGUCAGGAGAUACAGUAUGUAUAGGGGUCAGGUGACUAUAUACAGGGUCAGUAGAUACAGUAUGUGUAGGGGUCAGGUGACUAUAUACAGGGUCAGUAGAUACAGUAUGUGUAGGGGUCAGGUGACUAUAUACAGGGUCAGUAGAUACAGUAUGUAUAUAGGGGUCAGGGGACGAUAUACAGGGUCAGUAGAUACAGUAUGUAUAGGGGUCAGGUGACUAUAUACAGUAUGUAUAGGGGUCAGGGG